AUGCAAGUCGGACGGUAACAGGAGAGAAGCUUGCUUUUCUUGCUGACGAGUGGCGGACGGGUGAGUAACGCGUGGGAAUCUACCCUUUAGUUGGGGACAACAUAUGGAAACGUAUGCUAAUACCGAAUAUGCUCUACGGAGUAAAGGUGCCCUCUCCUUGGAAGGUAUCGCUAAAGGAUGAGCCCGCGUUAGAUUAGCUAGUUGGUAGGGUAAAGGCCUACCAAGGCGACGAUCUAUAGCUGGUUUGAGAGGAUGAUCAGCCACACUGGGACUGAGACACGGCCCAGACUCCUACGGGAGGCAGCAGUGGGGAAUAUUGCACAAUGAGGGAAACCUUGAUGCAGCCAUGCCGCGUGUGUGAAGAAGGCCCGAGGGUUGUAAAGCACUUUCAAUUGUGAGGAAGAUUAAGUAGCUAAUACCUGCUUAGUUUGACGUUAACUUUAGAAGAAGCACCGGCUAACUCUGUGCCAGCAGCCGCGGUAAUACAGAGGGUGCAAGCGUUAUUCGGAAUUACUGGGCGUAAAGCGCGCGUAGGCGGACUGUUAAGUCGGUUGUGAAAGCCCUGGGCUCAACCUAGGAACUGCAUCCGAUACUGGCAAUCUAGAGUUUAAGAGAGGGAAGUGGAAUUCCAGGUGUAGCAGUGAAAUGCGUAGAUAUCUGGAGGAACAUCAGUGGCGAAGGCGACUUCCUGGCUUAAAACUGACGCUGAGGUGCGAAAGCUUGGGUAGCGAACGGGAUUAGAUACCCCGGUAGUCCAAGCCGUAAACGAUGUCAACUAGCUGUUGGUCUUAUUAAAAAGAUUAGUAGCGCAGCUAACGCGAUAAGUUGACCGCCUGGGGAGUAC
rnacentral:rRNA from 1 species